GUAGGUGGCAAGCGUUUGUCCGGAAUUAUUGGGCGUAAAGCGCGCGCAGGCGGUUCUUUAAGUCUGAUGUGAAAGCCCACGGCUCAACCGUGGAGGGUCAUUGGAAACUGGAGAACUUGAGUACAGAAGAGGAAAGCGGAAUUCCACGUGUAGCGGUGAAAUGCGUAGAGAUGUGGAGGAACACCAGUGGCGAAGGCGGCUUUCUGGUCUGUAACUGACGCUGAGGCGCGAAAGCGUGGGGAAGCAAACAGGAUUAGAUACCCUGGUAGUCCACGCCGUAAACGAUGAGUGCUAAGUGUUAGGGGGUUUCCGCCCCCCUUAGUGCUGCAGCUAACGCAUUAAGCACUCCGCCUGGGAGUACGGCCGCAAGGCUG
rnacentral:rRNA from 1 species